GAGUUAUGCAUAGACGAAACGUGGGGUGGAAAAUUAAAUUCAAGGAACAGCGUUUUUCUUCACUGUGGGAGAAAACUCAUUUUUUGGAAAGAAACAAAGCGUGUCUAACAGUGUUGCUGCCAUCCCUUCUUAUUUAAAGUAUGAAAAAAGGAUUUGCAAUAGAUACUUGUAAAUGAUGGCUCGACCCAAAAUAUUCAGUAGCACUAUAGCCACGUACAAAGAUUUUGGAAGAAACGGGAAUUGAGUUUGGAGAGGCGUAAGGAACGAAUAAGGUACAAACGACCGAUUUGCUGAUCCACCCACUUAGGAUUUUACUCUGCUAUCUUGGAGUGCUCUCUUGUCCAGAGCCUACAUUUUGGUACAGACCUUUCUAUUGUAUAUAUAUAUAUAUAUAUAUAUAUAUAUAUAUGUUAAUCAGGGGUAUGACGGGGCCCUGUCCCGUCUUAUGGUUCUGUUGAUAUUCGUAGAGGUCUGUAGACAUACAUGUGGGUUGUGUAUAUGUUUUGGGUUGAUGUGUUCAGUGAUAGCCUUAUCGGCUUCCACACGUUAUUUCUGUUUAUCUGUGAUAGUUAGUAACGCCAUUCGACUUUUAUAUCUACAUAUUCAGCUUAUAUGCUGGUUUGGGUUAUUGGGUACGUACGGG